GUCAGCGUGUAUAGUAAAGUUUGAGAUAUCUUUUUCAGGUAGUUCACACAGAGACCACGACAGCUUAUUGUAGAAUACUGCCUACACUGGACCACCACGUUUCAGGGCCUUUUUUAAGGAUUUUCCCGUGGGGGGCAUUUUUUGAAAAGGGACCUUUCUGUGAGAUAAUAUAUUACAGGGAGAUAGCAAUGGCUGAAGGCCACGUGUGCGCCGAACAUACCAUGCACGCAUGAAUGAGGGGGGUGUACUCCCCCAGAAAAUUUUUGAAAUUUGAAGCACAGAAAUGCCAUUUCCUGCAUUCUGAGCAUCCAAAUGCGCUCCAAAAUGUAUACUAACUAUACUUGUAUUUGAAAUAAAAGAAGGAAAAAACCCACAAAAAGUUAAAAAAAAUAUUAACCAUAAUUUAUCAUUACUUAUUAGAGGAGGAUCCCAAUGGUCACGUGUGUGGGGGUGUACUCCCCCAGAAAAUUUUUGAAAUUUGAAACACGGAAAUGCCAUUUCCUGCAUUCUGAGCAUCCAAAUUUGCUCUAAAAUUUAUGCUAACUAUACUUGUAUUUGAAAUAAAAGAAGGAAAAAAUGCACAAAAAGUAAAAAAGAAUAUUAACCGUAAUUUAUCAUUAUACUUAUUAGAGGGGGAUACCAAUGGCCGAAGGCCACGUGUGUGGGGGCAUAAUCUCCAGAAAAUUUUUCAAAUUUGAAACCUGGAAAUGCUCUUUCCUGCAUUCUGAGCAACCAAAAAAUAAAAAAUUAUUAACAAUAAUUUAUCAUUACUUAGUGGUAGAAAAACGUAACAAUUUAGAUCGAUUUUGUUAAACAAGGACAAAGGAUAAAGCCUAAAACUUACUUUCCGUUUAUUUAUUUGUUAUUCUUCGCUGUUUUGUUGGUAUAAAUUUAGGAAAAAGGGACUUUUCCUGGGGG
rnacentral:lncRNA from 1 species